rnacentral:rRNA from 1 species
UACAGAGGGUGCAAGCGUUGUUCGGAAUCAUUGGGCGUAAAGGGCGUGUAGGCGGUCUGUUAAGUCAUGUGUGAAAUCCCUCGGCUCAACCGGGGAACGACGCAUGAAACUGACAAGCUAGAGUACCAAAGAGGGGGGUGGAAUUCCCGGUGGAGCGGUGAAAUGCGUUGAUAUCAUCAGGAAUACCGGAGGCGAAGGCGGCUCACUGGGGGUCUUCUGACGCUGAGGAACGAAAGCCAGGGGAGCGAACGGG